rnacentral:snRNA from 1 species
GUGCUCACUUCAGCAACACGUAUACUAAAAUUGGAACAAUACAGAGAAGAUUAGUAUGGCUCCUGCGCAAGGGUGACACACAAAUUCGUAAAGCAUUACAUAUUUUU